rnacentral:rRNA from 1 species
ACUCCUACGGGAGGCAGCAGUAGGGAAUUUUGCGCAAUGGACGAAAGUCUGACGCAGCAACGCCAUAUGUGGGAUGACGCUUUUCGGAGUGUAAACCACUGUCGUCAGGGAAUAAUGUGCAGCGUGAGUUGCAUUGAAUGUACCUGGAGAGGAAGCCCCGGCUAACUUCGUGCCAGCAGCCGCGGUAAU